GUGUGUGUAUGUGUUUGUGUGUUGUGGGGGAGGGAUGUACUAGAUGUGAUCAAAGACUGGGCCCUUUUCAAAGAAGCGCAUAUGGGAUCUUAAAUCGUGAAGACAGACUUCGAAGGUGAGGCAGGGACAUUUAUCAUUUCUACAGGAGACGUCCCUCGACAAUGAAUAUGUUCUGUGCAGAUGUAACGGGGGUGUCACUACCUUGAGUGUCUCCCAUCUAAGAAUCUUUUAAGUAGAGCCUGAUUGGAGGGGAGGAGGAGGUGGGGGUGGAGAAAGGUCUGCAUUGCCCUGUGGGGUGAGUGUUGGGCGGGUGUAUACUGGAUGCAUUUUCUCUCAGGCGGCACAAUACUCCCGGGGGCUGGAGGUUUUGGGCGCAACCGCAGGGCCGGGGAGGCAGAGGGUGCAAGCCACCAGCCGCAGGGCAGGAAAAUGCUCGCAGGAGGACCGCUGCGAACCUCCCCUCGGCCCGCUAACCCGUGCAACCCCAGUCUCCCCGCGGGCCUCGGGGCCAGCGCACUCUGCACAACUGCAGCCCAAGCCCCGGGCCCUGGGAUGUACCCCUGUUUAUCUGAAGCCUUGGUGACUGAUACUUUAGAAGGCCUCAGGCUGCAGGUCUAGCAAGGAGAACCUGGCCCUGCCUUAAGUCUUCCCCUUCAUAUACCUCCCCCAGAAGGGGACUUCCAACCAGUGUCAUCAUUAGACUUCUCACAAGAAGAGGGCCUCUGCUCUCAGACUGCUUAGUUCCAGUGCCUCCCUUCUUCAGAUGCUGGCACUGCAGCUUAGCAAUCCUUGUAGACAACAUUUAGCGCCCACAGCCAGCCUUACUGGAAGAUCAGCCUUCUGUCAUCUUGGUUUCUUGGCCUUAAAUAGUUCUUCACUAACUUACUCACUGAGGCAGUGGGCAGAAACCAGCAGAACCCAAUUUUUAAUUAAAAAAUUUUAGCAUGAAUGUCUGUACACUUUGACAGUUCUGAAAACCUUCAAAGAUUUCAUUUAAACAGCAGUAGACAUCUGGUUCCUGGAAGGUGAGCUGGAUGGCCUGGUUCAGUCUCCCUGUUCAUGGCAUUUCCUCGUUCCCUAAGCUUUCAGAGAUGUAUUCCCAGUCAGUAGUAGUUCUUACCACCUGUACUUAAUAGGGGCAGUGGCCAUGGCUCACUGCCCACCCAUUAGUUAAUAUAGCCCUGUCUUACCCCACCAGGCUUGGAGCCAGGGCCUUGGGCAUGGUGUCCUAGUUGUCAUAUUUGUAGUACUGCAAAUGCCACCCAUCACUUCGCCCUUCAGGCUUUGUAUAAAGAGGGGAUUAUAUGGUUCUUAGAGUCUUCCAGAUCCUAUACCUAGAAUUCUACUCUUAAAAAGGUGACUGUGCUUAUUAAUACCUGUAAUGCCAUGAAACAUCUGAAUUUUGAUUACUCUGGUGUCCUUGUCACCAAAACGUAUUUUAUAAUGUUUUAUAAACCAUAUUUACGUGGCAAUUUCUACAGAUCUUUCUUCUCAUUUCAUCCUUCCCUCAACCAGGGAGGAAGGACGGGCAGAAAACGUUUUCGUUUUUUUUAAACGGUGAAUAAAAACAAGAUCCAGGUAUUAAGGGUCACACCAGAACUAAAACCUGGGUCUCCAGGGUCCAAGUCCAAGACUUCUCUGUGACACUAUGCUGCAGCCUUUGCUGGACACCAUACAAAGCAAACUGAGCAGAUGUGGUCUCUGCUCUCUGGAAGUUUGGACUCAAAUGGACAGCCACAGUUCUAGCAAACAGAAAAGGACAAAGUGAUUCACAGUCAACUCAUAUGCCAAUAAAUAAAUGAGUUAAAUAGAUAAGGAGA